rnacentral:tRNA from 1 species
GGGCGAUUGGUGAAACGGCUAUCACGCUUUGUUUACACCGAAGAGUUGGGGGUUCGAUUCCCUCAUCGCCCA